AUGGAAAGUGUACACUGUUCUUCUUUUUCUUCACAUCUCCGAUCUGUUGUCAUUACUCUAUAUUGUUCUGAUUUCAUCAGCUAUCGUAUCUAAUCAGAGGCACAUCCUGAUGUUAUACCUGCUAAUGGAAUAGCUACAAAAGAAAUAUAAAAAAAUGACCUUGCUUACCUCAAGAAAAAGGUUGAUGCUAGAGCUGAUCUUAUUAUAACUCAACUCUUCUAUGAUAUUGAUAUUUUCCUCAAAUUUGUCAAUGAUUGCCGCCAAAUUGAAACUAAUUGCCCCAUUGUUCCGGGUAUAAUGUCCAUUAACAAUUAUAAGGGCUUCUUGCGCAUGACUAGAUUUUGCAAGACUAAGGUACAGGAAUCUUAUUAAAAGAGUUUUAAGAGCUAGACUUAUUUAUGGGAGCCCAAAUAUAAACAAAAUUGUGAGCUUUGAGUACAUGAAUCAUCAAUUGGUGUGGAAUGAAUUCUUGAUAUCUUCCUGUGUUCACUUGAUAGCAAUAACAGCCCAGUGGACAUGGAAGCCCCAACAAAACUGACGGGAAGAGGCUACGUCAUCCUUACCAGUAAAAAAUAUUCAAGGUGGAGAUCAAUUUUGCUGCAAAAAUCCCAAUGCAGGUAAUUACAAAUGCUCUGCGUAGUCAAGAGUUAGAGAACUCUCAAGAAGCAUUGAGAGUCUUGGAUAUUAUUCUAAGGCAGCAUGCUGCAAAGCAGUAAGUAGUUAUUCUUUUUCUCUCGAGAGUUCAAGUGUCUCAUUUUUCUUGCGUUAUUUAGUUAAUGUUCUUGUAUCAUGGGGUGCCUUUUUGUUAGACAAUCCUUUUUCCACAAUGAUCCGAUGUACAAUAAAGUUAGAACUAAGAACCUCUUAUAGGUCGAACCACAUGGGAUCUGUGUGUACUUUGAAACAAAUGGUUUCAGAUCAUUUAUUUUCAGUUGCUUGUUCCUUUUACAUUGAUGUUUAACUGAUAUUUGCUCGUUCGGAAAAUUGAAAAGUACGUAAAACUUAUUAGUUUUUUGGGUGAAGAGGCUGAAAUACAGUUUUAUUGUCAUUGUUAUUAUGAUUUUCCUUCCCAGUCCUUAUAGCAGUUUUUGACCAUUUGUUUUCUACUUUUAUAUUCAAAAACAAUGGUAAUAGCAGCCCCAGUGGACAUGAAAGUCCCAACGAAACUGACAGGAAGAGGCUACGUCGUCCUUACCAAUCAAAGAAAAUUCAAGGUGGAGAUUAAUUUUUCUGCCAAAAUCCCAAUACAGGCAAUUGCAAAUGCUCUGCAUGGUCAAGAGUCGGGGAACUCUCAAGUAGCAUUGAGAGUCUUGGAUAUUAUUCUAAGGUUGUAUGCUGCAAAGCAGUGAGUAGUUGUUCUUUUUCUCUCGAGGAUUCAAGUGUCUCUAUUUUUCUUGCAUCAUUUAGUUGAUGCUCCUGUAUCAGGGGGUGCCUGCUUGUUAGACAAUCAUUUUUCCCAAUGAUCCAAAGUACAAUAAAGUUAGAACUAAGAACCUCUUAUAGGUCGAACCACACGGGAUCUGUGUGUACUUGAAACAAAUGGUUUCAAACUAUUUUUUUCAGUUGCUUGUGACUUUUGCAUUGAUGUUUAACUGAUAUUUGCUUGUUCAUAAAUAAGGAAGUUACGUAAAACUUAUUAGUUUUUUGGGUGAAGAGGCUGAAAUACAGUUUUAUUGUCAGUAUUAUUAUACUUUCCCUUGAACUUGACAUAUAUGUUAAUAUGUGCAUCUUUUUUAAUGCAUUAUCCCCUCUUUAAAACUCUAAUAUUUCUCAUGAAAUCUGUGUACUUCCUUUUGAGAAGAGUAAUAACUGUCGAUGGUCAGUAUCAGAUUGAAAUUUAUAGUGUACGACCGAUUGCUUAUGGUGAAGAUGUCAUUUGUUGUUGCAAUUCUGUUACCGAGGAAUCUGUUUAGCUUAAGGAGAGAGCCUUUUACCUUUUUCUUUUUGUGGAUAUUUUUUGUUAAAUGGAGAUGUUUCAUGCUAUAGAGUAAAGAAGAGUAUGAAGCUUCUGUCUGUUUAUGCGGCAUUCAGGUUUUCCGUGGAAGUUACCUGAAUCUUACAGGUGAAGGGGCUAUCUUGAAGGGCUAUUUGAAUCAGAGUUCACUUCAUUCUCAGCUACAGAAUCCUAAAAUUUCAGUCAAUUAAAAUUUUAUCAAAAUCAGGUGGGAGUUGCUCAUGAUUGAACUCUAGAUGCUGUGAAAGAAAAAUAUAUCUGCGAGUUGCCAUUGUAGUGUUCUAAUGGCUUCUGGAAAAUGUUUUGAGUGCAAGGAAUGCAAGAACUUUCAACUUUGUGACAAGUGCAUUGAUUCUGAGCAAAAAAAUGAAGAUGGAGAAAGGCAUCCUAUCAUUUUUAAGGACAAGCACAUACGUUACCCUAGUGAAACCAAGGAGGCACCUCAGGACACCAAGGAUGAAGAUGAAAGACUAGAGAGCUCCGACUAAGUGCUAAAGAUAACCCAAUGCGGAUUCCAGUGGGUUUCGGUCAAAUUCGGUUGGAAAUUGUUGAUUUUUGGUUCGUAUCAACGUCUUUUGAGUUGGGUUUGAUUCCUGUUUGGGUUUGCAGAUCUCGAUACUGAGCUGGUGUCGAUCAUUUUGAGGUUUUCUAUCGGUUCAAAAUCUAUCCAGUUUGUAUUUCUCUAUAUCAAGUCGAUUUUGGUCAUGGUUGAGGUUCGGUUGGAGGUUUCCGGAUACGGACUCUUUUAAUUUGAAUAACAUUGAGUUUGAAAGCCUCAA